GACGAACGCUGGCGGCGUGCUUAACACAUGCCAGUCGAACGGAAAGGCCCUGCUUUUGUGGGGUGCUCGAGUGGCGAACGGGUGAGUAACACGUGAGUAACCUGCCCUUGACUUUGGGAUAACUUCAGGAAACUGGGGCUAAUACCGGAUAGGAGCUCCUGCUGCAUGGUGGGGGUUGGAAAGUUUCGGCGGUUGGGGAUGGACUCGCGGCUUAUCAGCUUGUUGGUGGGGUAGUGGCUUACCAAGGCUUUGACGGGUAGCCGGCCUGAGAGGGUGACCGGCCACAUUGGGACUGAGAUACGGCCCAGCCUCCUACGGGAGGCAGCAGUGGGGAGUAUUGCACAAUGGGCGGAAGCCUGAUGCAGCAACGCCGCGUGCGGGAUGACGGCCUUCGGGUUGUAAACCGCUUUCGCCUGUGACGAAGCGUGAGUGACGGUAAUGGGUAAAGAAGCACCGGCUAACUACGUG
rnacentral:rRNA from 1 species